GACAGCAGCAGCCGCGGUAAUACCGAGGGUGCGAGCGUUAAUCGGAUUUACUGGGCGUAAAGCGUGCGUAGGCGGCUUUUUAAGUCGGAUGUGAAAUCCCUGAGCUUAACUUAGGAAUUGCAUUCGAUACUGGGAAGCUAGAGUAUGGGAGAGGAUGGUAGAAUUCCAGGUGUAGCGGUGAAAUGCGUAGAGAUCUGGAGGAAUACCGAUGGCGAAGGCAGCCAUCUGGCCUAAUACUGACGCUGAGGUACGAAAGCAUGGGGAGCAAACAGGAUUAGAUACCCCGGUAGUCCCUGUCUCUUAUAC
rnacentral:rRNA from 1 species